GACGAACGCUGGCGGCGUGCUUAACACAUGCAAGUCGAACGGAAAGGCCCUGCUUUUGUGGGGUGCUCGAGUGGCGAACGGGUGAGUAACACGUGAGUAACCUGCCCUUGACUUUGGGAUAACUUCAGGAAACUGGGGCUAAUACCGGAUAGGAGCUCCUGCUGCAUGGUGGGGGUUGGAAAGUUUCGGCGGUUGGGGAUGGACUCGCGGCUUAUCAGCUUGUUGGUGGGGUAGUGGCUUACCAAGGCUUUGACGGGUAGCCGGCCUGAGAGGGUGACCGGCCACAUUGGGGGUGAGAUACGGCCCAGACUCCUACGGGAGGCAGCAGUGGGGAAUAUUGCGCAAUGGGCGGAAGCCUGAUGCAGCAACGCCGCGUGCGGGAUGACGGCCUUCGGGUUGUAAACCGCUUUCGCCUGUGGCGAAGAGUGAGUGACGGUAAUGGGUAAAGAAGCGCCGGCUAACUACGUG
rnacentral:rRNA from 1 species